CGCAGUUGAUGGAGCCGCGAAUGGUGAAGGUGGUCAGGUGGAGACGGUGUGUACAGCCAUGUCGGGUUGAUUGAGCUGGAUCCCUUUGUGGCAGGCAUCGUCGAAGCAGUAGCAGGUGCCGGCGAGGGAGAAGGUGACGGCAGUCUGAUUCCGCGCAGUGCACCGUAAAUAUGAAUCAAACAUCGAAGGGCUGGACCAAGAGAUGUUUACCUCCACGCAAACUGUCUCACGAUUCUAGCAAACAUGGGCCUUCAUGCCCAUAGGCUGAGCGUGUAUGCAUCUCAAAGGCUGGUUAGCCUCUUCGACAUGCUUUCUCGCAAGUAUGCCAAAUUAACUGAGUUAAAAAAUUACAAGGCUCUCAAAGUUAUAUCUGAUCAAAUUGAAAACAGGCAUCGUCUCAGAUGAUAUGGUACUCUACAGUUAUCUUACAUCGUAAUAGCACCAUUGUUUAUGAUCUCAUUUGUAUAGUUUAAACAGUGGUUUACUUUUGUAGUCAACAGAGCUUCACAUAUACACUGACUUCUUGAGAAUCGUUCUGGAAAUCAUGAAUGCAAUCCUUACAUAUGCAUUGCACAGAAAUCCCAAGGUAUGUUAGUUACCAAUGCAGUUUACUGGAUAGGCAGAACCAAAACUGCUUCUAACAUGUUCAUGAUCAGGGUUGUGUAUGCCAUAUUGCACCACCAAGAGAUUUUUGAGCCCUUUAAGAACCAUCCCAAUUGCUUGAGAAUAUUUACACGGAAUGUCUUAUUGUACAACACUUCAUAAUCUUCUGUUCUCCAGAUUCUGACCAUAUUCCAUCUUCCUGACUCUGUCUGUUAGGUGUUGUAUUUCUUCAACGGUCGAAUAGACAUGCAACAAUUAGAUGGGGAAUGGUCUGUGGACAAGGUUCUUGAGCUCAUUAACAAACAUUUCCGUUCAUGGCGUGGAGAAGAAAUGAAGGUGAAAAACAUAUUGUGACAUUGUUGGAAUUUUCCAUAAUCAACUUAUGGUAAAUUAUCUCUACACCUAAAAGUUGUUCUGGUAUUUUAUCAUUCGCUGCCAUAACAAUACAUCAUUACACAAUUUCUAGAUGUUUACACAAUUAUGAUUUACAUAUGACAAUAUGAGCAAGAAAGUCACCCGGGGGAAUUCUUCACUUUCCAUAUGCUUGGCAGCUUAUCCUAUCACGAGGGCUGUCAGGUUGCUGAUGACGUUGACCAUAAAUCGGCAGCGAUGUGAAUAUGGGGGAGAGGAGAAGUGGUUUGGGAUGUGCGCCUGCUCACCCUGGGAUUGAAGAUGUCAAGGAGGUGUAGGGAUGCUUGGAGUUUGCCAGAAUUUUCUGUUUCGUCGGUGGCCGAAGGGUACAAAGUCAAGCUUGCAUUCGUCGAUCUGUUGCUUCCCAGCACAAUCUAGAGGGUGGUGAGGUGGAGGACAGCGCUAGGAUCGGCCGGCGAAGGAGCUCGGGUGCUCCGGCGGCGUGGUUGACGAGGAAGAGGUGGCGGAGGACGAGCUCCUAUCGGGGAUGG